UUUCUAGGGUGAAAACCUCUCAAUGUGAAUUCCAGAGGUGACGUAGGAAAACAUCUAAGACAUUGCAGGUAGCUUUUAGAAGAUCAGAUAGAAAGUAGCUCAUAAUUUUUAUUGGAACUACUACAGAGGAGUUCCUGGCCAAGAGAGAUUC